AUUGAACGCUGGCGGCAGGCCUAACACAUGCAAGUCGAACGGUAGCACAGAGAGCUUGCUCUCGGGUGACGAGUGGCGGACGGGUGAGUAACGUCUGGGAAACUGCCCGAUGGAGGGGGAUAACUACUGGAAACGGUAGCUAAUACCGCAUAACGUCGCAAGACCAAAGUGGGGGACCUUCGGGCCUCACACCAUCGGAUGUGCCCAGAUGGGAUUAGCUAGUAGGUGGGGUAAUGGCUCACCUAGGCGACGAUCCCUAGCUGGUCUGAGAGGAUGACCAGACACACGGGAACUGAGACACGGUCCAGACUCCGACGGGAGGCAGCAGUGGAGAAUAUUGCACAAUGGGCGCAAGCCUGAUGCAGCCAUGCCGCGUGUAUGAAGAAGGCCUUCGGGUUGUAAAGUACUUUCAGCGGGGAGGAAGGCGGUGAAGUUAAUAACUUCACCGAUUGACGUUACCCGCAGAAGAAGCACCGGCUAACUCCGUGCCAGCCGCCGCAGUAA
rnacentral:rRNA from 1 species